rnacentral:rRNA from 1 species
GCUUGUCUCAAAGAUUAAGCCAUGCAUGUCUAAGUAUAAACAAAUUUGUACUGUGAAACUGCGAAUGGCUCAUUAAAUCAGUUAAAGUUUAUUUGAUAGUACCUUACUACUUGGAUAACCGUAGUAAUUCUAGAGCUAAUACAUGCGAAAAGACCCGACUUUUUGGAAGGGUUGUAUUUAUUAGAUACAAAACCAAUGCGGAGCAAUCCGGUUUGUGGUGAUUCAUAAUAACUUUGCGAAUCGCAUGGCCUUGCGCCGGCGAUGAAUCAUUCAAAUUUCUGCCCUAUCAACUUUCGAUGGUAAGGUAUUGGCCUACCAUGGUUACAACGGGUAACGGGGAAUUAGGGUUCGGUUCCGGAGAGGGCGCCUGAGAAAUGGCGACCACAUCCAAGGAAGGCAGCAGG